rnacentral:rRNA from 1 species
GAUCAUAGCUCAGGAUGAACGCUGGCGGCGUGCCUAAUACAUGCAAGUCGAACGCUUUGUGGUUCAACUGAUUUGAAGAGCUUGCUCAGAUAUGACGAUGGACAUUGCAAAGAGUGGCGCACGGGUGAGUAACACGUGGGAAACCUACCUCUUAGUAGGGGAUAACAUUUGGAAACAGAUGCUAAUACCGUAUAACAAUGACAACCGCAUGGUUGUUAUUUAAAAGAUGGUU